rnacentral:rRNA from 1 species
GACGAACGCUGGCGGCGUGCUUAACACAUGCAAGUCGAACGGUAAGGCCUUUCGGGGUACACGAGUGGCGAACGGGUGCGUAACACGUGGGUGAUCUGCCCUGCACUUCGGGAUAAGCCCGGGAAACUGGGACUAAUACUGGAUAGGACUGCGAGGUGCAUGCCGUGUGGUGGAAAGAUUUAUCGGUGCAGGAUGGGCCCGCGGCCUAUCAGCUUGUUGGUGGGGUAAUGGCCUACCAAGGCGACGACGGGUAGCCGGCCUGAGAGGGCGACCGGCCACACUGGGACUGAGACACGGCCCAGACUCCUACGGGAGGCAGCAGUGGGGAAUAUUGCACAAUGGGCGCAAGCCUGAUGCAGCGACGCCGCGUGAGGGAUGACGGCCUUCGGGUUGUAAACCUCUUUCAGCAGGGACGAAGCGUGAGUGACGGUACCUGCAGAAGAAGCACCGGCCAACUACGUG